ACUCAAAGGAAUUGACGGGGACCCGCACAAGCAGCGGAGCGUGUGGUUUAAUUCGUUGCUACACGAAGAACCUUACCUAGGUUUGACAUAUAGGUUGUAGGGAACUGAAAAGGGACCGACCCUUCGGGGAGCCUAUACAGGUGUUGCAUGGCUGUCGUCAGCUCGUGUCGUGAGAUGUUCGGUUAAGUCCGCUAACGAGCGCAACCCUCGCCGUAUGUUACAAGUGUCAUACGGGACUGCCGGUAAAAAGUCGGAGGAAGGUGGGGAUGAUGUCAAGUCAGCAUGACCUUUAUAUCUAGGGCUACACACACGCUACAAUGGUCUGUACAAUGGGUAGCCAAGCCGCGAGGCGGAGCCAAUCCUGAAAGCAGGCCUCAGUUCAGAUUGCAGUCUGCAACCCGACUGCAUGAAGCCGGAGUUGCUAGUAACCGCAGGUCAGCAAUACUGCGGUGAAUACGUUCCCGGGUCUUGCACACACCGCCCGU
rnacentral:rRNA from 1 species